CAGAUGGAUCAGACAGCACUCAGUCAGUCGUAUGUCUGGAAUUCCGCUAGUUCUGAACUAUUCGUGAUUGGCAAAAGUUCACUACUAGCAGAACUCGGAUAUACAACUGAAUUCUCAACGAAAGCUCAAGAAUAGUUUGGUCUCACAUGGCCUGCCAUUGGACAACUGCUAUAUUCAUGUGAUCUACUUAUUGGAUGAAGUACAAGAAGUUAAGACCAUCCUUGGAUGUGUUACUCCAUUACUCAUAACCGAAGGGCUACGGACUUGAUUACAACCAGAUAUAUGAGAUACUUCUCUGUUUUCAUGUUUUAGUUGUGGUAAAAUGGUGUGCUCACUACAUCAGUCUGUUUAAAACAGGAAGAAAAAAGACAAAUGUAAUAUAUUUAAUAUAUAAACCUCAAUUCUAAUUCU